rnacentral:rRNA from 1 species
GACGAACGCUGGCGGCGUGCUUAACACAUGCAAGUCGAACGGAAAGGCCUCUUUCGGGGGGUACUCGAGUGGCGAACGGGUGAGUAACACGUGAGUAACCUGCCCUUGACUUUGGGAUAACUUCAGGAGACUGGGGCUAAUACCGGAUAGGAGCUCCUGCUGCAUGGUGGGGGUUGGAAAGUUUCGGCGGUUGGGGAUGGACUCGCGGCUUAUCAGCUUGUUGGUGGGGUAGUGGCUUACCAAGGCUUUGACGGGUAGCCGGCCUGAGAGGGUGACCGGCCACAUUGGGACUGAGAUACGGCCCAGACUCCUACGGGAGGCAGCAGUGGGGAAUAUUGCACAAUGGGUGGAAGCCUGAUGCAGCAACGCCGGGUGCGGGAUGACGGCCUUCGGGUUGUAAACCGCUUUCGCUCAUGACGAAGCUUUGUGUGACGGUAGUGGGUAAAGAAGCACCGGCUAACUACGUG